GUGGCAUAAGGAAAUCUGUGCGGACUUAAAAUCCGCCGGGGGCAACCCCAUGCCGGUUCGAUUCCGGCUCCGGGCACCA
rnacentral:tRNA from 1 species